rnacentral:rRNA from 1 species
UACGUAGGUGACAAGCGCUGUCCGGAUUUACUGGGCGUAAAGAGCGCGCAGGCGGUCGAUCAAGUCGAGUGUGAAAGCCCCCCGGCUCAACUGGGGGAGGGUCAUUCGAUACUGAUCGACUCGAAGGCAGGAGAGGGUAGUGGAAUUCCCGGUGUAGUGGUGAAAUGCGUAGAUAUCGGGAGGAACACCAGUGGCGAAGGCGACUACCUGGCUGUUCUUGACGCUGAGGCGCGAAAGCUAGGGGAGCAAACAGG